GAACGUGUUACCGGUCGCGGGCACAAUCAUGGUGUGUCUCUCCUUUUAUCACGUGACGUUUGGUACUGUGAUACAGGAAGUACUAGUGAAAGUAGAGAUAAACGUGUCACAUAAGGACCGCAUCGCAGCUCAUCAUGACCAAGAGAGACCCC